rnacentral:misc_RNA from 1 species
GACUGUACAAUCACUGGAGGCAGUAAUAACACGAGUUCCAUCACUUGUAAAGAUGGCAUCAUUCACGUAGGAUGUAUGACCCCGGAAUUCUUUUAACAACUUGCCAGAUUUUAGGCCAUGUAUUCUGGCUGUGCUGUCAAAGGAUGUACUUAGCAGCUGGCUUCCAUCACGAGAGAAGACAACACUAGUUACUCCUUGAGAAUGCGCACGUUCAAGACGGCGCAAGCAUUGACCAGUCCUUAUCCGCCAAACUUUGAUCUUCCCAUCUUGGGAACCCGAUGCAAUCAUCUCAGAAUCUCGGCUAAAAUCAACACAUAGGACAGGAUCAUCAUGCAUCAUAAAGGUUUCAUCAGCCUGGUACUGAAGAUCCUUCUUGAGCUUUCCGCUUAGGUAAUCCCAGACCUCAAUGAACCCAUCAACAGAGCAUGAGACAAGGAACUGCCCAUCUGGUGAGAACCGAGCACAUUCUGCAUGACUUUUUGAUCCAAACUUAAUAGUGUGUGCGAGGGUCGUAGGGUACAUGUCAUCUACAUCCUGUUUCAUAGCAGCUGUUCCUCUAAAUAAGUCAAACUGUGUUCCUGGUGGAAGCAACCCUUGGUGUUGCUGCCACUUUAGGGCCUGGCCAAUUAAAGCCAUUAAUCGAGAAGGUGGAACAACACUAACUUCUGAAGCUAGAGCUUGGGCAAUCUGUGCACGACAUUUCUCCUUGGUUGAAUCCUGGUAAGCCUCAUUUGGAUCGAAAUAAGUUCUAACUAGGAGAUGCUCAAGACGCAAGUAUCUCUCAGGUUGCUCCUGCUUCAUGACACCCAUUGCCUGAGUUUGCCUUAAAAUGGCACGUGCAGUGUCUAACUCUCGAAGUUCUAUCAUUUCUAAUACAAUCUGCUCAUACAAGUCCUCCAAUUUAUUUCUGGGAAGCUUGAGUUGAGCCACCUGAGGCAAUAUAGCAUCCCAUCUUCCACUAUUGAUAUCAGCAACAAACGUCUCGAUACUAUCCACUGUAUUGAGCGAGACUUGGCACUCAUUCUGCAACGUCUGGAACGUUUGGUGCAAUGAAUUCUCUUUGCAGAACUGGAGCACGAUCUUGAUCACAUCUCGAGCUUCAAUUUCUAGAGUCAUCCUUUGCUCUUACAGACAGCGAAUACGCGCGCCC